rnacentral:lncRNA from 1 species
GUACAAUCAAAUUAUACAUGUAUUCUUUUUUGUAUAUCCACAACAGAAAUACAAUACUCAAGAGUUAUUUUUACCUUUUCUCCAUCUCUUGAGUUCUAUGGUUGGAGAUCAAAUUUUUUGUUUAGUUCUGGUUUUUUCUUCAGAAACAGAUAGAAUUCAUUUGUUUCAUUAAAUGUCCAUCUUCUUCCCUGGAAGAAAAUGCUCAGCUUAGCUGGGUAGUUUAUUCUUGGCUGUAUCCCAAGUUCUUGUGCCUUUUGGAAUAUCAUAUUCCAGGCCCUUCUUUCCUUUAAUGAAGAGGCGGCCAGAUCUUGGGUGAUCCUUAUUGUGGCACCUCGGUAUUUAAAUGUUUUUUUUUUUGUUUGUUUUUUUUUUUUUGCUGCUUGUAAAAUUUUUUCCUUAAUCGGAUAGUUCUGAAAUUUGGCCACAAUAUUCCUUGGGGUUUUUAUUUUAGGGUUUCUUUCAGAAGGUGUUCGAUGAAUUCUUUCAAUGCCUAUUUUACCUUCUGAUUCUAUUACAUCUGGGCAGUUCUCUUUGAUGAUUUCUUGUAAAAUAGUAUCUAGGCUCUUCUUUUCAUCAUAGUUUUCGGAAAGUCCAAUAAUCCUCAGAUUAUCUCUCCUAGAUCUAUUUUCCAAGUCUGUCAUUUUUGCAAGUAGAUAAUUCGUGGUUUUUUCCAGUUUGUCAUUUUUUUGUUUUUGCUUGACUGAUUCUUGCUGUCUCAAUUAAUCAUUAAUUUCUCUUUGUUCAGCUCUAAUUUUUAAAGAAUUAUUUUCUUCAUUAGCUUUUUUUACUUCUUUCUGUAUAUGUCCAAUUGAGUUUUUAAAUGUAUUGUUUUGGUCUGUGGAAUUUUUUUCAAUUUCACUAAUUUUUUUUUUUUUUUUAGUGAAUUAUUUUCUUUUUCCAGUUCACGGAUCCUACUUUCUAGUGAAUUCUUUAUUUUUUCCAAUUCACAAUUCUUACUUUCCUGAGAUUUUUUUACUUUUUCCAAUUCGUAUUUCAGGAAGUUGUUGCUCUCUUGUAAGGCUUCUCUUUCCUUUCCCAAUUUAUCUUCUAACUCUCUUUUGAGACUUUUAAUGGUCUCUUCUAUGAGAGCAUCAUGUAAAGGAGGACAGUCUGAUGCAUUUUUGCUGUUUGAGGUCUCUUCAGGUUUGCUGACCUGCUCUUUUUCUGCAUAGAAGCUGUCGAUCGUUCUUUUCAUCCUUUUAUUCAUGUUUUAAAGCCUUUAGGAUAGGUCUCCUAGGCAAGGGGGUUACCAGCUUCCUCUGCAGAGCAGGGAAAGAUGUAAACCGAUUUCAGGCUCCAAGGUAUGGGAGUGCUCUGAGUGAGAGUUUUCCCUUCCCCCAACAGGAAGUGGAUUCAGCACUGGCCGAGCUAUCAAAGUGUGCAGUUGGGCUGAGUGGGUUAGCGAUUGCCCUCGGCUAGAGACUAAGGGGUGAAAGUGUCACUGCCCCAGGCCGGAGCCUCUUGUGGGACUGUGAAUAUUAGCAGCUGACCACUGACCGCAGACCGUGCCGAACUCUGCCCCAGUGUCUCUGCCUAAUGCAAAUCGACCCUGGAAAAGCUCUAUGGCCCCAAGUGGAGCUCCCCACUGUGCAGAUUGGAGGCUAACCCAGGCUGUGUCCUCCUGCCAUGCCGGAUCACAGCUGCCCCAAGGAAAAGCCCUGUACUGCGGGUCGGGGCUGUGCGCUUGUGCUGAGAUCUGUGCUUUCACUUUCGGUUUGAGGCUCUUCUCAGAACCUAAUUUCUCUCCCAGUUUGCCCUGAUCUCCGCCCUGGCCCCGGAACCAACCUUUUUUUUGGUGAGACUGCAGAUUUUCCUUGGCAGGUGAGUUGUUCUACUUCUCAUCUUUACGAAUUGUAGCAGUCAAGACUAUUUUUGAGGCUCGAUAUAAUAUUGAUAAAGAGGGUAAGAGAAGAGCUUAGAAAGUUGCGUGUGUCUUCUCUGCCAUCUUGGCUCCGCCCCCCCCAAUUCUAAUUUUUAAUGAAUUAUUUUCUUCAGUUAGCUUUUUUAGCUCCUUGUACAUUUGGUGAAUUGUAUUUUUAAAAGUGUUGUUUUGUUCAGUGAAUUUUUUUUUCUAUUUUACCAAUUCUAUUUUUAAGGAGUUGUUUUCUUUUUCCAUUUAGUCAAUACUCUUUUUUAGGGAAUUUUUUUUUCAAUAUAUAUUUUUUUUUCAUUUCACCAUAUUUAUUUUUAAGGGGUUGUUUUCUUCAGUCAGUUUCUGUGCUUUCUUGUCCAAGCUGUUAACUUUUCUCCCAAACUUGCAUAAACUUUAUAAACUCUCCUAUCUUUCCUCAUAUUUUUCAAAAAUCUAUUUUAAGUUUCCUUUUGAAUUCCUCCAAGAGAAUCUUUUGAUCUAGAAACCAGAUUAAAUCCUCCUUUGAUGCUUCACAGGUAAGCAUUUUGCCUUUGCUGUCUUCUGGGUUUAUGUUCUAAUCUUCCCUGGUUCGAUUGUAGCUUUCUAUAAUAAGAGCUCUUUUUGCUUUAAUGCUCGUUUUAAAAAGUGGAGCUCUGGGGAGAUUGUCCCAAGCUUCUUUUGCAAUGGGACAAAGGUCUUUCACAGACUGUACUGUGACUGGAGCUGGGGUUGGUUGUGCUUGCUUUCCCACUGCAUGAACUGACCCUGGCCAGGUCCUGCAUGUUAUACUACAGUUUGGGGGCUCACAAUUUGCCUUCUGUGGUUGUAUUAGAGUUCUCAUUCUGGUCUGCUGAUCUACUGGCCUUCUGAACUAGGACCAAGUUGCCAAUGUUGCUGUAUUUUAGCUAAUAUAUAGUAAUAACAAUAUAUUCCCUGCAUUGGCCUUCCUUGGAUUUUGCCCACACUGAGCUGUGUUCCCACCUACCCAAUUGAGACAGCCUUUCAAAAUGUCUUCAGCUGGAAAAUUAUCAUACUCCAAAUGUUGAUGGGUUCUAUCACUUCAAAAUCCUCUCAUAGGUUUUAUCUAGCGUUGAUCCUGGGGAAAGCUGGGAAGAACUCAGACAAUGUCCUAUCUACUCUCCACCAUCUGGACUUCUAUGCCUUAGACCAUACAUUUCAAAGCCACCUCCCAAUAAAAAGCAAAAAACAAAAGCAUAAACAAAAAAGAAAACAAUUCUCAAAUUUAUAUUGUGUGUAUUAUAUGGAAACAUUCCAUGACAACAUUUUACUUCUUUACUGUAAUGAUCUCAUAAUACAAUUUUGAGAUAAUAUUUUUACAAUUAAUAACCCCUAUGUAUGUAUAGAUAGAUAGAUAUAAAUAUACUCACAAUGUCUCUCAUAGUGCACAAAGUAUAUAUAAUAGGUAGCUAUCAAUACUCUUGAAUCAAUGAAAUGAAUCUACGAAGACAAUUGAAAUGUAUCUAGAAUUUAAUUCUCAAAUUAAAAAUGUAUUUUGUUUAACACUUAAGUGCGAGACAAAAAUUGAGUAAGAUACAAUAAUUUUUGUCAAUGAUCUUACAGCUAAGUGAGAGGGAUAGAAUAUAAACCGUUAUCAUAAAGAUGUUACAAAAAAUUAGAAAGUAGAAUCAGUUGCUAAUGUGUCUUUAUUGUUACAUUAUUUUAGCAACAAAAAACUGUUUUUUCCCUCCAUUUCUGAAUAAGUUCACCCUCUUCAAAGUAUCUUGAAAAAAUCAAUACCUAAGCAUCAUUAAAAUUGGAUUGCCAAUUUUUUAUAGGAUUUAGAGAUUUUAAGAGAAUUUAGAAAUUGCAGACCAAUUUUAUAACUUUAUAGGUGAUAAACAGAUAAAAGUAGUGAUGAAUAGUAUCUUGAACAAUUAUCCUUAAAUUCAUUUAAAUUUUUAUUUCUUUUAUAUUGCACCCAUAUGUACACACCCAUAUAUGCAUAUGUGUACAUGUGCUUUUUUUUUUUUUUUUUUUUUUUUGCUUUUCAUGUUUAGUGAAAAACCAACAAAUUUUUUCUGGUACUUUGUUGUAGAGUUCCAUGACUAUAUAAUAUAAUUGUCAAUGUUAUGGUAUAUUCCACCUCUAAUAGUUUUCCUGUUACAACUGAUAAAUUGAUAUCAAAAAAUGAGCAGAGUGGGUCAGUUUCAUGUCAGAAAUCAGAAGGUAGAUACAAAACUGAACCCAUCUUUGACUCUAAACUCUUUGUGUCUAAUGACUUUGGAUAAAAAAUCAAAAUUCAAAGCUUGUCUAGGAAAUUGGUAUUAGUUUUGUCUUUGUCAUUAAUUCAUCCAGCCAGCUGGUUACCUCUGCAUAAUCUUUCUCUAGAUCUCUCUAGCAAUCUAUAAGCAUACUAUAGCUAUCUUUAGAGAUACAUCAAUAGUCAUACAGAUUUACAUUGUUAUAUGGUCUAGUUACGUAGGUAUAGAAUGAAAGAUACUUUCAUAAUUAUAGUCAAAUAUAAACAUAAUGUAGUUUUUUUGUUCUUUAUUCUUUGUUUUAGAAAAGGAGCAAGGAAUUCACACAUAAUGUCUUGACUUGCAGGUGAAUUAUAUCUAAAUGAGACAGAGUUGCUCAAAAUUAUCAACCUCAUUUUUCGUUCUAGAAUCAUCUAAAUUCAGUGGCAAGACAAAAGUCAAGAUAAUUGGUGAUAGCUUGUGAUGCAGUGGAUGACGUUUGGUCUUUGAUGUCUAACCAAACUAUAAGUAUUCCAUAGGACCUUAUUGAUGAUAUAAAUAGAGACAGAUAUUUAUAUGUGCUUGUCACUUCUUAUCACAGGAUUCAAGAAAAAUAAAACAUCAUAGUAAGCCUUCAUGAGGAAAUGAUCUCCCUCUUCUCUUUGCCCAUGUGUGUCACUAUUAAUUUUUAAGUAUAUAAAAAGUUUGAUGUUUCAGAAUACUUCCUUUUGCAGUAUUGGUUAUUCACAUAAAAGCUUUGGGAGCAGAGCCAAUGUUUGAUAUAGGUUGUGGUCAGAAUAAAGAAAUGAUUUUUAAAAGUUAUUUUGGAUUUAUGACUUAAUGAUUUAUAAGCAAGAAAAAUGAAAGAAUACAUCACAGGAAAGAGAUGAUAAGAAUUUAAAAGCCACAAUGCAACUUUUUGCUGUCUCCGUGCUAUAUCCCAAAUUUAUAAUUAUAUAUCCCUUUCUUGAUUGAUUUUUCCCAAAAUCCAAAUUUUGGAAGCUAUUAAAUAAUAAAAGUCUUGACUUCAUAUAAUUGAGAGGUCAAUAUAAUUACUUUGCAAAAUAUCAGAAAUAACUUAUUUUCAAUAGUUUUUUUUUUUUUUCUGCAGUCUUAUAUCAAUGUAUAGGGGUACUGUCCAGUGAUGGAUAAAUUAUUUGAGCAUGCAGAAUUCAAACGAUCUGAUUCCAACUCAUGCUAAUUCUUAUGGAGCCUGCUUCUUGAAGUAUAUAAUGAAAGAAGGGUAUGUCCUAAGCUAAGGCAUACAAAGAUACUAUGUGAAUAUUUCCUGUUAGCUUAUGGAAUUAUGAAGAAAACAAUUUAGGAAUUCCACUUCCAAUCUUUUUAAAAUUGGUCACCAUCACUUCUCACACAAAUAAAGUCACAUCUAAACAACUGGAAAAAUAUCAGUUGCUUAUUGGUAGGCUGAACUAAUAUAAUAAAAAUGAAAAUUGUGCCUAAAUAUUUCUACUUAGUCAAUGCCAUACAAAUCAAAUUUCCAAAAAGAAAUUUAUAGGACUAGAGAUAAAAAUAAGAAAAUUCAUCUUGGAGAGCAAAAGGUCAAGAAUAUCAAGGUAAUUAAUAAAAAAUGCAAAGAAUUAUGGCAUAGCAAUAUCAAACCUAAAAUUAUAUCACAAAGCAGCAAUCAUAAGAACCAUUUGAUACUGGAUAAGAAAUAGAGUGGUUAAUCAGUGGAAUAGAUUAAACACACAUGACACAAUAAACACAGACCUAUAGUAAAAUCUAAUAUUUGAUAAACAACCAAAUUCUAGAUUCUGGAAUAAGAACUCACUGUUAGACAAAAAUUGCUGGGAAAACUGAAAAAUAAUAUGCUAGAAACUCAGAAUAGAUAUACAAUUCACUUACCAUACCAAAAUAAGGUCAACAUGGGUACAUGAUUUGUGCAUAAAGGAUGAUAUCAUUAAAAAACAAAUUAGGAGAACAAGGAAUAAUUUACCUAUCAAAUCUUUGAAGAAGAGAGAAAUUUAUGACUAAAGAAAAACUAGAGAACAUUAUGAAAGGCAAAAUGGACAACUUUGAUUACAUUAAAUUAAAAAAAAAGUUUUUGCACAAAUACAACCAACAGAAACAAGAAGAAAAGGUAAGUACACAGCUGGGGAAAAAUCUUUGUAGCCAGUGUUUUUGAUAAAGAUCUCAUUUCUAAAACAUUCCUAAAUUUCUAAACAAGUUGUGGUAUAUGAAGGUAAUGGAAUAUUAUUGUUCUACAAAAAAUAAUGAACAAACUGAUAUUAGAAAGGCCUGGAAAGAUUUAGAUGAACUGAUGCUGAGUGAAACAAGGAGAAUCAGGAAUACAUUGUACACAAUAACAGCAAGAAUGUGUGAUGAUCAGUAUGAAAGAUUUGGUUCUUCUCAGUGAUUCCGUGAUCCAAAGCAAUCCAAAUAGACUUUGGACAGAAAAUGCCAUCUGCAACCAGAAAAAAGGAAAUGAGGAGCCUGAAUGUAAAUCAACACAUGUUAUGUUCACUUUUUUCUGUUUUUUUUUUUUUUUUAAUCUCCCUUUCGGUUUUUCUCUUUUGCUCUGAUUUUUCUCUCCUAAAAUGAUUGAUAAUGUGAAGUAUACAAAAAUAAAUAAAUUUACUAGAAAAAAAUAAUCACCAUUUGAAGUAAAAUACAGCCCUUCUUAAAAAGAGAUUAAAGGAAUUAUAACAGGUAAUGAAGAAACUAAAUUAUUACUCUUUGUAAAUGAUAUGAUGGUAUACUAAGAGAACCCUAGAGAAUCAACUAAAAAACUAUUAGAAAUAAUCCACAACUUACUGGAAAUACAAAUAAAUUCAUAUAAAUCAUCAACAUUUUUAUACAUCACUAACAAAAUCCAACAACAAGAGAUACAAAGAGAAAUUCCAUUUAAAAUAACUCAAUAGUAUAAAAUAUUUGGGAAUCUAUUUUCCAAGGGAAAGUCAGAAAGUAUAUGAGCAAAAUUACAAAACACUUUCCACACAAAUAAAGUCAAAUCUUAACAUUUGGAAAAAAUAUCAAGUGCUCUUGGAUAUAAUAAAGAUAACAAUACUACCUAAACUAAUCUAUUUACUUAGAGCUAUACCAAUCAAACUCCCUAGAAACUAUUUUACUGACCUAGAAAAAAUAACAACAAAAUUAAUCUGGAAGAACAAAAGGUCAAGUAUUUCAAGGGAAUUAAUAAUAAUAAAAAAAAAGCAAAUGGAGGUGGCCUAGCUGUACCAGAUCUAAAACUAUAUUAUAAAGCAGCAGUCAUCAAAUCCAUUUGGUACUGGCUAAGAAAUAGACUAGUUGAUCAGUGGAAUAUGUUAGGUUCAUAGGACAAAAUAGUCAAUAAUUACAUCAAUCUACUGUUUGUCAAACCCAAAGACCCCAACUUUUGAAAUAAAAACUCACUAUCUGACAAAAACUGCUGGGAAAAUUGGAAACUAGUAUGAUAGAAACUAGGAAAUGACCCACACCUAACACCAUAUACCAGAAACAAA